UACAGAGGUGGCAAGCGUUGUUCGGAAUUACUGGGCGUAAAGGGCGCGUAGGCGGUCAGCACAGGUCAAUUGUGAAAUCUCCGAGCUUAACUCGGAAAGGUCAACUGAAACUGUGCGACUAGAGUGCGGAAGGGGCAACUGGAAUUCUUGGUGUAGCGGUGAAAUGCGUAGAUAUCAAGAGGAACACCUGCGGCGAAGGCGGGUUGCUGGGCCGACACUGACGCUGAAGCGCGAAAGCCAGGGGAGCGAACGGG
rnacentral:rRNA from 1 species